rnacentral:rRNA from 1 species
GACGAACGCUGGCGGCGUGCUUAACACAUGCAAGUCGAACGGAAAGGCCCCAGCUUGCUGGGGUACUCGAGUGGCGAACGGGUGAGUAACACGUGGGUGAUCUGUCCUGCACUCUGGGAUAAGCCUGGGAAACUGGGUCUAAUACCGGAUAGGACCGUUCUCUAGUGUGUGCGGUGGAAAGUUUGUCGGUGCGGGAUGAGCCCGCGCCCUAUCAGCUGGUUGGUGGGGUAAUGGCCAACCAAGGCGGCGACGGGUAGCCGGCCUGAGAGGGGGUACGGCCACAUUGGGACGAAGACACGGCCCAGACUCCUACGGGGGGCAGCAGGGGGAAAUAUGGCACAAGGGGCGCAAGCCGGAUGCAGAGACCCCCCGUGGGGGAUGACGCCCUUCGGGUGUUAACCCCUUUUCGGAAGGGACGAAGCUUUUGUGACGGUACCUGCAUAAGAAGCACCGGCUAACUACGUG